AGGGAUGUGGCUCAAUGGUAGAGUGCUUGCUUAGUAUGCAUUAAGCCCUGGGUUCUAUCCUCAGCACCACUA
rnacentral:tRNA from 1 species